CAACUAACGGUGAUGAGAGCGACUUACUCUCCAGCAUCAUCUCCUAGACCAGGAAGUCUGGAUAUCCAAGCGCUUAAGGACAGUCUAAUCCCUUCUUCUCAUGGGGUCAUCAAGCAGACUGCAUCUAGAGUUUUUGGAGCUUCUGGCAAUCUGAUGGCCUUCUACUUCUCAUCAAGAUGAUUUUAUGCUCCUGGCUGAGCUGUGGUUUUCACAUAUGAAUGUUUUCUCU
rnacentral:lncRNA from 1 species